AAGGAGAAGAUGAUGGUGAGCGAGAUGAUCGGCAAGGUGACGAGCGAGUGCUGGGACAAGUGCAUCACAGGCGCUCCCGGGAGCAAGUUGAGCUCCGGCGAGACGAGCUGCCUGAGCAACUGCGCGCAGAGGUUCAUCGACAUGAGCGAGAUGAUCGCCAAACGUUUUGGCGCGCACUAGAACAGGGCCACCACAUGCAAGCGUGCAGUUGCUUCCUGGCCUUUUGAGUCAUGUGUCUUUCGACGUGAGCGGAUUUUGGUGUGGCGGUGAGAGAUGCAUAUCAGUGGGGUUUUAACUGAAUGAACACCGAAGUAUGCCUGUCGUUGUCGCCAUCCUUGUAAUUCUCGCACUCUGGGUUGAACUUUUGACCGUGCUUCCAGGGGCAAGCAAGAAGUUUGGCCUGUUUGAACGCCAAGGAUGGUGUGGUGUUUCCAUUUCGUUUUGGUCCUCUGGCUAUUUCGGUCCGUCUGCCCAACCUAUUUAUUUAUUCAGAGAAGAUUUGCUGGAGACCUGACCUGUUCAUCUGAUUUCUGGGCCAACAUUUGUUGUUGGU
rnacentral:lncRNA from 1 species